UACGUAGGAUGCAAGCGUUGUCCGGAAUUAUUGGGCGUAAAGAGCUCGUAGGUGGUUAUCUAAGUCUGGUGUUAAAGACGGGAGCUCAACUCCCGCAUGGCAUCGGAAACUGGAUGGCUAGAGUGUGAAAGAGGUAACUGGAAUUCCUGGUGUAGCGGUGAAAUGCGCAGAUAUCAGGAGGAACACCUGUGGCGAAAGCGAGUUACUGGUUCAUUACUGACACUGAGGAACGAAAGCUAGGGUAGCAAAAGGG
rnacentral:rRNA from 1 species